AGCAAAUAGAUACCCAGGUAGUCCACGCCCUAAACGAUGGAUACUAGGCGUAGGAGGUAUCGACCCCUCCUGUGCCGCAGCAAACGCAUUAAGUAUCCCGCCUGGGGAGUACGGCCGCAAGGCUGAAACUCAAAUGAAUUGACGGGGACCCGCACAAGCGGUGGAGCAUGUGGAUUAAUUCGAUACUAACCGAAGAACCUUACCCACUCUUGACAUUGAAGGAAAGCUCUAGAGAUAGGGCCCUCUCCCACAAGGAGACCUGAAAACAGAUGUUGCAUGGCUGUCGUCAGCUCGUGCCGUGAGGUGUACGGUUAAGUCCGCCAACGAGCGCAACCCUCGUUCUGUGUUACCAGCGAGUAAAGUCGGGCACUCACAGGAGACCGCCGGUGUAAGCCGGAGGAAGGUGGGGAUGAUGUCAAGUCAGCAUGGCUCUUACGAGUGGGGCUUCACACAUGCUACAAUGGGCGCAACAAAGGGCCGCGAUACCGUGAGGUGGAGCAAAUCCCAAAAAUACGUCCUCAGUUCAGAUU
rnacentral:rRNA from 1 species